rnacentral:rRNA from 1 species
CGGGAACUCUGACACGAGGUGCUGCAUGGCUGUCGUCAGCUCGUGUCGUGAGAUGGUUAGGGUUAACGUCCCGUAACGAGCGCAACCCUUGUCCUUAGUUACCAGCACGUUAUGGUGGGCACUCUAAGGAGACUGCCGGUGACAAACCGGAGGAAGGUGGGGAUGACGUCAAGUCAUCAUGGCCCUUACGGCCUGGGCUACACACGUGCUACAAUGGUCGGUACAAAGGGUUGCCAAGCCGCGAGGUGGAGCUAAUCCCAUAAAACCGAUCGUAGUCCGGAUCGCAGUCUGCAACUCGACUGCGUGAAGUCGGAAUCGCUAGUAAUCGUGAAUCAGAAUGUCACGGUGAAUACGUUCCCGGGCCUU